UGAGAGUGGGGAGGGGAGAAGCCAGCGCAGGCUGCGAUCCCGGACGGCAGGAGCCGCCGGUGGAGAAAGCGACAGGCACAGAGUCCUCUGUCCGGCCAGAAGAAGAGCUCAAAAUUACUCACCAGGAAGAAGCCAUGGAACUGAAUGCAAAGGAGCAACCCAGCUCCCCACAGAAGCAGGGAGUGAAGGCUCGUUCCAAAUCCACUGAGGAUAUCCAGCCUGCCAAGAAGGCCUUUCACACUCCCCAGAAGUCCUUGCCUAACCAGAUGGACGAUGACGAGUCCAAGGGUUCCUGUCCCAUCCCGCCACCCAGUGCAACUCAGCAGCAGCAGCAACCCUGAGAGGAGCAGGAUCUGCUCGAGCGCUGCUUGCAAGGAGGGGAGCUGUUCACGCCCCUCGUGCCGCUCCUACCCCUGUGGAUGUCACCGUGGUUCUGUCUGUCCAGCUGUCGCUUUCCAACUGUCUGUCCUCUCUGUGGAAUAAGA